GACGAACGCUGGCGGCGUGCUUAACACAUGCAAGUCGAGCGGUAAGGCCCUUUCGGGGGUACGACGAGCGGCGAACGGGUAGAGUAACACGUGGGUGGACCUCGCCCUCCAGCUCUGGGAUAAGCCUGGGAAACUGGGUCUAAUACUGGAUAUGACUCCACGGUGCAUGUCGUGGGGUGGAAAGCCUUGUGCGGCUGAGGAUGGGCCCGCGGCCUAUCAGCUUGUUGGGUGGGGUGAGGCCUACCAAGGCGACGACGGGUAGCCGGCCUGA
rnacentral:rRNA from 1 species